CCGGAAGUAACAUAUUUUGAACCAAAAGUAGAAAAUUAUCUCCCUUAUUUAUAUCUUUUUGUAUUGAAACCUUAUAUUUUUGGAAUCAGCGUACAAUAAGUUGUCAUUUGACGCUGAAAUUAAUAUUUUAAAACCAAAUUUUAAUAUUUUCAUAUCAAAAUAGAUCCUUACUGGUGGAAAGACCUUCAAUUGUUCUCUGAACAAUUGGUUUUUA
rnacentral:lncRNA from 1 species